rnacentral:rRNA from 1 species
GGGGGAUAACGUCCGGAAACGGGCGCUAAUACCGCAUACGUCCUGAGGGAGAAAGUGGGGGAUCUUCGGACCUCACGCUAUCAGAUGAGCCUAGGUCGGAUUAGCUAGUUGGUGGGGUAAAGGCCUACCAAGGCGACGAUCCGUAACUGGUCUGAGAGGAUGAUCAGUCACACUGGAACUGAGACACGGUCCAGACUCCUACGGGAGGCAGCAGUGGGGAAUAUUGGACAAUGGGCGAAAGCCUGAUCCAGCCAUGCCGCGUGUGUGAAGAAGGUCUUCGGAUUGUAAAGCACUUUAAGUUGGGAGGAAGGGCAGUAAGUUAAUACCUUGCUGUUUU